AAUGGAUCUCCUUAUUACCCUUCAUUUGACUCAAAGAGUCUAACAUGUCCCAUAAGUGUAUCUUAAAGCUAAACACUCUCUAACACACCAACAUGUCCCAUUGAAUGGAGCUUAGCUCGACAUUUCCUUAUCUCUCCAACCUGUCAUAGGGUCUUUCGCCCAAAUCACAAAACAUAAAGGUGAGUACUAACAUUCCUAUGGCAUGCCAUUAUAUCCAACGGUUUCAGAAGAUUAUAGUGUCAAAACAUAUACUUAAAACAUAGAGCUCGCAAAUUAUGAGGAGCUUGUAGAGCAUUAUUUGAGCUCGCAAUAUAGAGCUUGCAUAUCACUGUUCAUAAAAACACAUAUAUAAUCACACAAAAAAGUAUAGAAAAGACUUACUCUCGAAACUUAGGAUAAAACUCUAAGCCCCUAGUUCACAUUAUGGUUCAUACAUACAUGUGGCGAUCCCUAAACACUCACCAAUUUGCUGAAAGCUCUAAACAAGCUUCGCUUUUUCCUUGUUUUUGCUUGUAGACAGUUCUAUUAGUUUCAUAAUUUCACAAACACACACAAGUCACUAACAGUCAAAGCACAUUGAAAACUCAUACAAAAACACAAGCGUACCUAGGUUAGCAAAUGCUAGUUUUUUGACAAACUUAAUCACUUUUAUUGCGAACCUUCUUAAGAGUUCUAAAGAAACAGAGUCUUACCUUAAGUUCUAAGAGUUAAGUUUUGGGUUCUUAUUUUCUUAUUUUCUUAAGUUCUAAGAAUAUGAAUUUUCGAUAGAAAGGGCUUAAUUUAUAAGUACUAAGUGUUUUGAUAUUCUUAGGAUACCCUAGUCGCAGUAGAAGUAGGAAAGAGUUACGUGCAUGAAUGGUGUUACGAAGAGGAAAGUAAGUUGACUUCUUAAUUUUGGUAUAAUUACCCUUUGACUACUUCUACUUUUGACUCUCAACUCAAAACAGUGAUCAUAGCUUGCCAAGUCUACUGGCGACUGCAACUUCAUCAAGCCCACUAGUGAUUAUAGUUCGCUAAAUCUACUAGUAACCUUUGUUUGCAGGCCUUUUGGCGAAUCCCAACUCGUCAAGCCUUAAACUCUUAGGUCCUAUUCUAAGAUGUUACACUUCCUUUGUGUCCUCGUUCUUCACAUUAGAUGAAGAGAACAAACAAACCUCUUUCAUAUGUCUAUAUCUACCGUAAUGGAAACAAGAUGUUUGGUAGAGAUUCAUACUCUACUCUUUUGGAUCUUAUCUGCAAUCAGGUUAAAAACCAAAGGAUUAUUCAAGUCAAUACAAACAACCCAUUCGAGCAAAGCGACCUCUUGCUCCACUAGCCAUAUUAUAGUCAAUUUUAAUCACCUUUCGUAUCAUAUCUCCAAUCAUGCUUAUGGAACUCUUUCCGUACAUGGUCGUAGAUAAAUCGGGCUAUUUCAUGCCAUAACAUUACCUAAAUAUAGUUGGGUGGCUGUGAAGGAAGUUGUCCAUAGUUGUACCAUUAAAUACUUUCUAAACACUACCUAAGGCCCCUUAGCUAGAACCUUUAUAUAACCUUCCUUUAAUUUGAAUGUGACCAUGUAGUAAUCAUUCUCCAAAUACAUUAACUAAAGUGCCUUUGUUGGUUAACAUAAGGAAAAUGUUUUAUUCAAUUCAACAUUAAACCCAAUCAUUUGACCCAAUAGUUUAAGGAAAACUAUCUUCGACAUGAUUUGUUCCAUCAAAAGAUUAACCCUCUGCGAGAACUUAAUUGAAGGAAUCUCAUAAAUAAUGCAAUUUUCAACCUCCUUCCGAAAGUUCGAUGUUGUCAUCUUCCCAAGUUUCCUCUUUCUCUUUGAAUUUGUUGUGAUAUUUAGUAGCUUAUCAUGAAAAGAAACCUGAUAUUCCUCUUGAGCAUCAACGGUCAUCCCCUUCUUAUCAAAUGGGUCCUCAUAAUGCAAAUGAACUUUGUUAGAAGCCUUAGCACUAAUCCUAGGAAUUGAUGGAUCACCAAGGUUGUCGUGUUCCUCGAUUGAAAUCUCCAUCUCUUGGUUGUGAUUAAAAUUUUUAAUUCGUCUUGCCCAAUUUUUUAUUACAAAAUAAUUAGAAUAUAAUAAGUCUUAGAUUUUUUAGUUACUAUUAAAUUAAAGAGUUAAUUGCACCAAACACCCUUAAAUUAUAACCCUCAUCCUAAAUUGGUCCCUAAGCUUUUAAAAUGUUCUAAUUACAUCCUCAAACUAUAGAUGUCAUACCAAUUAAGACCUUCCAUGAUUGAAACUGUUGAUUUAACUAUUGAAUGUCACAUAAAAUCUUAUAUGGCAUAAUUUAAAAUAAAAAUUUUAAAGAAAAGUAAAAUGUUAUCGCAUAAAUUUUAAAAUUAAAAACUAAAAAUAAAGUAAAAUUGAACAAAAUAGAGAGUAGAUGAUAGUUUCUAUAAAAACUUCGAAAACCUCAAAAUCAAGAUUUUUACAACAUUCAUUUUUACAAUAUUCAUUUUUGUUUUAAUUUUUUCAUUUUAAAUUAUGUCGCAUAAGAUUUGAUGUAUCAUUUAACAAUUAAAUUAAUAAUUUUAGUAGCGAAAGGAUCUUAUUGAUAUAAAUUCGACAAUUUGAAGAUGUAAUUAGAAUAUUUUAAAGUUUGAAGACUAAUUUAGAACUAAGGUCAUAUUUUGAAGAUGUUUCGUGCAAUUAACUGUAAAUUAAAUUAUAGUUAAGUUGUAUUUUAAUUCAAUUAGAUGUAAAGAUUUUAAACUUAUUUUAAUUCAAUUAUAUAUAUUGUUUUUAAAUAAAUUUGUUAAUUCAUUUUUAAUUAAAUUAGUUAAUUACCAUUAUUUAAAACCUUUAAUGAUACGAAAAUUUGUUAAGAAAGAAAAAAAAGAGUAAAGAAAUAAGAAUAAAAAAGUACAUAAUUAUCUUCCACAGGAUUUUAUUAAAAAGAAACAUUUAUCUAGUACGUUAAUAGGGGAGAUUUUUAACUCGUGAAAUUUUAAAAAAUAUCAUGUAUCCCAUUUUAUUUUUUUAAAACUUUUUAUUGUCAAACUCACCACUCCGUUGUUAAAUGUGACCAUACAUUUUCACAUAUUUUCCACUUCCUUUUUAGUUUUUCUUUUUUUUCGUUCACUUUUUUCUUUCUUAUCUUUUUCCUCAUCUUCUUCCUUACUUGACCUAGUUGUUGCUGAAGUCUUUGUGUCGAUCCUUGCCAAAUCCUAACCUAAACCAAAUCCACAAUACCCCAAACUCAAAUCAAUAACAACUCACGAACCCAAAAACCCUGCAACUGGAUUUUAGCACAACUUGUAAAAUAAGGAGAAAAUUAGAAAAUCGAAGAAGAAAAAACGAAAAACAAAAGAGAGAGAGAGGGAGGGUAAAUAGGUUUAGGGUUUUCCUUGAUUCUUGAAACUCGGAGCAUGUACUGUAAGAUCCCAACGGUGAGGAGUUUCCUUGAAUGGUGUUACGAUUGAUUUCUCAAUACGGUUGGAUAGUCAACCACCGAGAUUGGACUAAAAAACUUUGAACAUUGGCUUAUGAUUUUGAGAUUUUUCAGUUCAUUUCAGGAAAAACUAAAUCAGUAGGGGAGAAUAUAUAUACACAUUUUUUAAAAAAUUUAGAAAAAGGGGUGAAGUGAACAAUUUGAUUAACGAUAAUGAUUAAAUUAAAAAUAGAUUUUUGAGUAAUCAUGAUCUUUUAUCUGUAAAGUAAUUUAUUCUAAAAUAUAUAUUAAUAUAAAUUCAAUGGAUCUCAAUUACAUAUGUAAAAUAUAUUUAUAUACAAACAUAAAAUUAAUAAUUAAUAAUUGAGUUAAAUAACUUAAUUUAAUGAUUAUAUUUAUUUUUUAUUGAAGUUACAAAAAUUGAAAAUGGCUUAAAAUAUUAAAAAUUAGUUUAAAAAAUAUAAAAAUUUCGUAUAUGAACAACUAGUACAAGAUUUCUAUAUUUCUCAUAAUUAUUUUUAUUUUCUAGUUACAUUAAGAAUAAAAUAUAAUCAUUAAAAUUAAAUUAUCUAACUUACUUAAUAAUUUUAAAUUUUAUGUUUUUAUAUAAACAUUUUUUUAGAUAUGUAAAUGAGAUAUAUUUGCUUGUAUUUAAUGUAUAUUUUGUUUUAAAAAAAACUAGAAAUUAGGCUAUAAGUAUAGGAAAAAAAUUAAAAACACUAAUAAAUCUAAAAACAAAUAUUUGUAUAUAGCAGUACCUAUGAUAACUUUGGUACUGGUUGUUUAUAUACAAAUAUAAAAUUAUUAAUUAUUAAUUAUGUUAAAUAAUAUAAUUUGAUGAUUAUAUUUUAUUUUAAUGCAAGCAAAAAAAUGAUUAGCAAAAAAAUUCUUUAAAAAUAAAAAAAUUUCUAUAAAAAUUUAAAAUUAUAAUUAUGUGAAAAUUAAUAAAAUCAUAGUCUUAAAAAAUUAAAAAAAAUUGAGUUAGGUUAAAAUUCAAAAAUUAUAAAAAUAUUGAAAUAUCAAAAAGUUCUUUAAAAUUUUCAGAAAGUUUGCUAUUUUAAUUUUUUUAAAUUAUUAAAAAUAUUUUUAAAACUAUAAUUAUGUAUGUUGAUUGAGGUUUAGCUCAAUCUUACUUCUCGAAAGUGUUUUUGGGCCAAUUUUGUCCCAAAAGUACUUUUGAAAAGCUUAAAAGUAUUUUGUUUAACAAAUGUUAAAUUGGUCUUGAGUUUUAGGACUAUUGUUGGUGUGAGUUUGAGUAUAUUAAAGCGCAUAUAGAUUAAAAAGAAACUAAAAAUAGUGAUCAAAAUUUAUAAUGAGUAAUUAUGUAAAAAAUUAAAAUUUCAUAAAAUCUAAGAAAAAGAACCUUCCAAGCCCUUUCACUUUGUAAGAAAAUCCUCUCUCUUUUCCAGCCCAUCGCAUCAAUAAAAAUGGUUAAAUUUUGUACAGAUUUUACUUCAGCCAUUUUAAAUAGGUAAAUAUGUAAACAGGCUACCAUCAAACAAAAACAACAAAAAAACCAAAAGAAUUAUUGAUUUAUUGUUCGACACUGCAUCAAAAUAUAGUAAAUUUCUGAGGUGAAAAUAAAUUAAAAACAAAAAAAGUUACCAUAUUCUAAUCAAUUAAAAGUUCAAGAUAAAGAAAAUUUAGGUUAACAAAUCAAUGGAACUUUAAGUUUUUAGAUAAUUAAAAAUAGGCAAAAAAAAUUAUCAGCACUUCCCAAUAAGUAACUCAAAAAUUAACAUCGGAAUUAAAAAAAUAAUAAUUACCUGAAAGGUCUCAAGCAAUGGCGACGACUUGUUGUUUCAGAGGCUCAAGGAUGUUGUUUGAUUUUUUGCCUGUCUCCAUUUUCUUUACAUGGAUAUACAUGUACGUUGAUGUCACUGUAAAAAAAACAGAAACCAUUUUCAUUUCAUUUGUCCGCUGUGGGUUGAAGUGAUAGAGGACAAAGCUUGAACGGUGGUCCUGUUUUCGACCGGAGAGGAUGUCGGCAUGGUGGUUCAAGUGGCGGAAAUGGGGUUGAAAGCAGAAAGGUUGCUUUUUCAGAAAGUUCAAAGGUUUGAAAGGUUGUUUUUAGAAUUUUGUGAAAUUUUCAAUUUUUUUACGUAAUUAUAGUUUUAAAAACAUUUUUUAUAAUUUCAAAAAUAAAAUAACAAAAUUUCAGAGUUUUUCAAAGAAUUUUUUGAUAUUUUUACA
rnacentral:lncRNA from 1 species